AGCACGCGAAUCCUGUAGUGCACACUGGAGCUGCUGAUAGUUUAGGUGCUUUCUGUUCACAUUCGAGACGCUCCUGAGUCUCAACACCCGGAGUUCCCCUAGAGCCAGAUACUAGGAACAGCUUUAUCAACCCGGCGUCUGGAACAAUCUCUACGACUACCGACUGCAGGGGCGGGGGAGGAAACAUUCGUGUCAUCUGAACCCUUUAAAACACACACACACACACACACACACACACACACACACACAACUUGCUGCCUGGGACCUCUACCGAGUGCAGCGGGGAACCCAAAAAUAGCAUGACAGUGACAGGGAGCGAUGGGAGCUUAAAAGAAGCAACGGCUACCAGAGGCCAAACAGCCAAUGGAACACAUGAAGGAAUGUUAUCCAAUAGAAGAUUCUGGCCUCGGAAUAUACUUCGAGUAUAACAUUCCAGUGGAGAAGAGGAGACCCACACACCUUCGGACAAGAAGGGUUGGUGGAGGUUGAAGCCAUACAUUGGCAAACUUGAAAAUGGCUAAAGCCACCACUUCUGCUGCAAAUUAUUGAGCACAGUAAGUCACAAGGCCCAACUGGUAUCAAAGUUUGGGGGAAGAGACUCUCCUUCUUGAGAAGAGUUGCAAAAUCACAUUGCCAAAGGAGUAGUUUCAGAACACACCAGACACCAAAUGUGUGGAGGUUGUUUUUCUCCUACCAACCAGUUCUGCUGCUUUCUGGGCACCCACUGGGUGUACUACAAUUAAAUUCAAUUCUGAUGCUAACUACUCAGCGUUGGCACAGACCCCACAGUUCUACAAGACUGCCUCCACUUCAGAUGUCAGUCCAAAGUGUGGACAAUCUAUACUUGGGACUUACCAGCUACGAAGUUGGGGGGUUUCCAUGACCCCCUCCUUAUAUUUUGCUAGAAUGGCUCACAGAACUCUGAGAAUCAUUUUGCUUAAUAUUACUGAUUUAAUUAUAAGGGAUACAACUCAGGAACAGCUGGACAGAAGAGAUGCAUAAGGAAGGUAUGUGCAAAGGGCCAAGAAACUUCAAUGCCCUUUCUAGGCAUGCUGCCCUCCCAGAACUUCCAUGUGUUCACUAGCUCAGAAGCUUUUGAACCCUGUUAGGGGUGGAGCUGAAAGUUCUACCCCUCUAAUCACUUAGUUGGUUCCUCUGGCAACAAGCCUUCAUCCUGAAGCUAAACAGGGCCCACUGAGAGUAACCUUAUUGGCAUAAAAUCAGAUAUAGUUGAAAGAGGCUUAAAAUGAAUAAUAAAAGCUGUUCCUCUUAACCAUAUCACUCAGGAAAUUCCAAGAAUUUUAGGAGCUUUGGGCCAGGAACCAGGGCCAAAGAUCAAAUAUAUUUGUCUAAUUAUAUCAUAAUAUCACAAAUACAUUUAGACCUACAAAUUUCCAUUUGAGUAAGGCUUUGGGUAUCCUACCAGUUACCACACAUUGUGGUGGUCUUCUUUUUUAUUAUUCUGUAAAUAGUCUAAAGUUGUAGUUUUUCUUUCUGUUUUGAUCUACUAGCCAUUUAAAGUUAUGUUCUAAAAUUUUCAGAUCAUCAGGAUUUUCUCUUUAUCUUUGUUAUGAGUGACUACAUUAUAUUUUGAUUAAAGACAUGUUUCAUAUAAUUGUGUUGCAUCGAGAUCAAUUAUUAUAUGGGCAAUUUUUGAAAAUGUUUCAUGGAUGCCUGAA